GCCGAAGUGGCGGAAUUGGCAGACGCACUUGACUCAAAAUCAAGCGGUGUAACAACCGUGCCGGUUCGACUCCGGCCUCCGGCACCA
rnacentral:tRNA from 1 species